CAGGAGGCGGCGGCUACGACGGAGACGGCUGCGCUUGCUCUCUCGGCGUUAUGGCGGCUGCCGGGAGCCGAUAAGUGGCGGGAGCGGGAGCGCGCGCGUGGCUGCGGCGACGACGACGGCUCCUUCCUUCUCGCUCUAGCUGCCCUCGCCGUUGGUGCUUCCAUCAUGAAUGGAUUAUGGGAUCCGCUCCACAGGGGGUCGCGCGUGGGAGCCGCGGGCCGGGGCUUCCCCCUCCCCCUCACGGACUCCUGCUUCCCCCCAGACGCCCGGAGCCCGAGGACUCACCCGGCGGCGGAGACCUGAGUGGGCUCCCUCUGCCCCCGCGAAGCCUGCACGGCCGCCGGUGAAUCAAAAAGGGUCCCAGGAAACCUGUGAAUGUUGAAGAAAAUUCGUCUGUGAAUUUUUGGUAUUCAAGGAGGAGUCAGUAUUUAUAUUCAUCUUUUAAACUGGGAAGAUUUAUAUUUUAUUUUAAAACUUCUUGAUAUUUACAAUGAAUGGACACAGUGAUGAAGAAAGUGUUAGAAACAGUAGUGGAGAAUCAAGGAAGUGACAGAGACUUGUGUCUUGGACACGAAGUAAAACUGCUUUAUUACUGAAGCAAGAUUUCUUUUUCCACCUGACAACAUCCUAGCCAAUGAGAAACAUCACAGCUCAACCAACGAAACACGUCGCAGCUCAACCAUCGAGAAACGCUGCAGCUCAGCCACCGAGAAACACCGCAGCUCAGCCACCGAGAAACGCCGCAGCUCAGCCAUCGAGAAACGCUGCAGCUCAGCCACCGAGAAACGCCGCAGCUCAGCCACCGAGAAACGCCGCAGCUCAGCCAUCGAGAAACGCCGCAGCUCAGCCAACCAGAAACGUGGCAGCUCAGCCAUCGAGAAACGCUGCAGCUCAGCCAUCGAGAAACGCCGCAGCUCAGCCAGUGAGAAACGCCGCAGCUCAGCCAGUGAGAAACGCCGCAGCUCAGCCAUCGAGAAACGCCGCAGCUCAGCCAUCGAGAAACGCCGCAGCUCAGCCAGUGAGAAGCCUUUGCUGCCUUGACCUUUACUUUCUCCCAAUGGAUUUUCCUUUAGAACAGCCCCUCCUUACUCCUGCUCUUCUCUAUAAAAGCAGCUCCCCUCCUUUCUUUUCUGGAUUUGCCUGUGGUUUGCCAUAGCAUGUAUAUCCUGAAU